rnacentral:rRNA from 1 species
UACGAAGGGGGCUAGCGUUGCUCGGAAUCACUGGGCGUAAAGCGCACGUAGGCGGAUCUUUAAGUCAGGGGUGAAAUCCUGGAGCUCAACUCCAGAACUGCCUUUGAUACUGGGGAUCUCGAGUCCGGAAGAGGUGAGUGGAACUCCGAGUGUAGAGGUGAAAUUCGUAGAUAUUCGGAAGAACACCAGUGGCGAAGGCGGCGAUCUGGACGAUGACUGACGCUGAGACGCGAAAGCGUGGGGAGCAAACAGG